rnacentral:rRNA from 1 species
UACAGAGGUCUCAAGCGUUUGUUCGGAUUCAUUGGGCGUAAAGGGUGCGUAGGUGGCGCCGUAAGUCGGGUGUGAAAUUUCGGAGCUUAACUCCGAAACUGCAUUCGAUACUGCGGUGCUUUGAGGACUGGGAGAGGAGACUAGGAAAUUCAUGGUGUAGCAGUGAAAUGCGUAGAGAUCAUGAGGAAGACCAGUGGCGAAGGCGGGUCUCUGGACAGUUCCUGACACUGAGGCACGAAGGCCAGGGGAGCAAAACGGGG